UCUUAGCCCGGAUGGAAGUGGCAUCCUUUUUCUUUUGAAAAAAGAAAAAGAUAUAACGGACAGCCGGAAAUAUU
rnacentral:sRNA from 1 species